UUUUUUUUUGCUGUCUUAGCAUGGACUGUCAUCCUGUUGUGUCAUGUUUUUUGAACUAUCAAGAAGUCUUAAGUGCAAAACUGAAAAAUGGACCUACAAAAGUAUGAAACAUGUUUUUUCAGAAUGUUCAUGUAUAAUAGAACAAAUGUCCCAUGUUUGUAUGUUGAAGCAUGCUGCAUGCUAUUGCUUAGAGGAUUCUAAAUUUCUUGAGUCAGAUGUAUUACAGUGAAUAUUUUCUUUCUAGUGGAUAAUACAAGUUGACAGCUGGUAAUUUGUGCUUCUGUGUCAUUUGUCCUUCUAUGAUCAGAGGUUUGUUUUUGUUUUACUGGACUGCAGACUGUACAAUGCAAAGUUGCAUGUCUGGGAUGUGAAGCCAUUUAACAUCCUAUUAUUGUUGUACUAGCUACUUGUCUUUGUGUUCCAUUUGGUAUUCAGAUACUUAAUUAUCUCCAUGCUGACUUCUGUUUUGUUUCCUUUGAAACAGAGAUGCAAUGUGAAGAAGAAAGAUACCAGGAAGCUCAUGGGUGCUAUCUAUGUCGUGAGUGAUCAGGGCAGCAUCAAGGAAGAGCAGUAGUGGGCUGCAUCUUGUCUAGUAUGAUAGACUGAUAGCGUUCUAACUGUCUUUAUUAUAACCUUUACUUGAUCAACUAAUUACUUAAUUAGGAAUCAGGAUGCUAUUGCUAUGUAACUGGAGCACGUACUCCUAUGUGACUCGGAUCUUUGUUAUUGUUGGUAUAAUACUUCAUGUAUUCUGAGUAGUUAUGUUGUCUGCUCUGCUUGUGUGUAAGUCUUGUGGUUCGACUACUAGCAUGUUUGUUACUCAUGGUAUUUGGAGAAGUGUGUUCUUGUUCACAAUUGCGAAAUUUAUUUCCCUUAGCAAUGUGUUGCUCUAAUCUAGCAGCAAUGCUCUAAUGCAGCAGCGAAGAAAGAGUUUCUUUGAGGCCACAGUCUGUAUACUCUACAUGGAUGGUAAAUGGAUGAACAUGUAGUUAUGCAAAAAGAGAUUCUUUGAGUAGAUAACUGAAUGUAGUUGUGCUGGUUCAGAGUAUGGGAGGCCCCUGGUAAAUGGAUGAACAAGCAGCAGUAUGCUCUUGCAAAUGCAUCCAUCAUACUACUAGCCAGAGGUAAGAGAAUGGAGUGUUGAUGAACUGAACUCAGUAGUAAAAUUAAUAAUCUGAGACAUAUAUGCAUCUACGACAUGUUGAUGAUGUUUAGGUGUUGAUGCUUAAGCUGAAGAUUAAGGGUGCAGAGUCCAUUUGGCAUAUGGGAUAUGGACAUGAACGCUUCAGACAAAUUAAUCGACAGAGAUAUAUAGUAGUGGUAGCAGAUUGAACAAUGCUCUUGUGCUUGACAUGGACAACAGAACAUAAUAAGAAGUUCUCUAAAAAUGAACAAAUGAGCAUGGCUUAGCUUAAUUAGCUGCGUGUUUUUCCCUUUUCGAGGGUGCCGAUGUAAUCCUUGUUAUUACCACUGUACUACCAGCUAACUAUAACAUGAAGCUCUGUGGUGGCAAUGUACUAAUGAGAUCACUGCAAUUAAUUAUGCGAUAGAUCACACCCGGGCUCAUACAACAAAAGCGCUGUACUUUAUAGUGCAACCCAUGAUGCAGAAAUGCUGGUCUCAUUAACCAAUCCAGAUAUUACAUGACACCAACAAGAACUGCAUGCUUAAUAGAAAUAUUAAUGAUAGAAAAGGAGGAUGAUAAUAAUUCACUACUUGGAAAGCCUGAUUUUUUUUUCAUAUUAGUAUGUUUUGCUCAAAGAAAGGUUGUGUAAGUUGCCACAACAAACUGCUUUCACCGUAUUCCAUUUUGCAAACUAUCAAUGUUCUCUUGCGUACUGCAGCAAGCCAGAUACUGCUCUUGUUUGAUUUGUUGCUUUCUUCUAUAAGGUAAUCAAUAGUAUAUAUACUCUAUAUAGGACCUUCUUCAGACCUUUUUCCUUUGUUCUUGACUAGUGAAGGAGCCCUUCCUGUAUAGAUUCUUUCUGUAUAUGUUGUAUGUGAAGGGAACCUCUGAUAAUUUGCUGUGUGAUUUUCUCCUCAGCUUAUCUUGCCCUUUGUGUCCUCUUUAUCUUGCCGUUUGCAAUAAACGUUUGGAGCCAAGCUAUAUUUGGUUUCCUGAACUGGGCAAAACCUGGCAAUGUUCUAGUUUGCAGAAGUGCCCUGCAAAAUCUGGGAUUGUUGUUUCUUUUUCGACAGUGCGUGUGCGAGAGCCAUGUUUUAGUUUGAUGAUGAAAAGUAGGGAAAUUACCUUAUCAUGCACAAUUGUGUGAAGCAACGUUUUGGUUUGCCAAAGUUUUACGCAAGAUAAUGUAAAACAACCUGGGUUACAAAGCUUGUUAAGAGCAACCUGACAUACAAUGGUUUUACGCGUCCAGGUGGGCAUUCUUGCUAUUGUGCUCCUGGAAAGAUGCUUGCGCCAAGUAUUAAUUGUGUUUUCUCUUGCUCCUUUCAGAAGUUUCUUUCUCAGACCAGAAAAUUUCCCUGCUGGUUCAUCGCUUUGCAGAACCCGCAAGUUUUGGCAUGGUGAGAACUUCCAAGGAUCAAGUUAGUAGGAGUACACAUGAGUUCCUUCAAGCAGUUUGAGGGCCAGCGAGAGGAGGUUCCAGAUUGGUGCCUUGCAGACCCUACACAUUCCACAUAUUUGUGAUGUGUAAACCAGCAAACAUCUUUCAAAACUCCAAAAUGCAAUAUCCGAUUCAUUUUGAUUUUUUAUCAGCAAACCUAGAUUGCGCAUUAUUGGCCCCAAUAAGCUAUUCAACACUAGAGAUAUAUUGAAAAUUAAAAACUUUCUGCCAUGCAUCAAUUUCAUUAUCAUAUGAGCUACACUCGAAACAUUUGAAUUCUCAGGAGCAAGCUUAACAUAGCAUUAACCCCAAAACACAGGCAAUCAUACACAGAAACUGAUCAGAGAUACAAGGAUAAAAAUCCAAGGACACUCAUAGGAUAAGAUUUGAUAGCAGAUCAUGCAAAUAAGUAUAUCAGGUAUCAAACAAGAUGUCCGAGAAGGCCAAAACAGAAAUUCAGAAACUAGCACUUGAUAACAACAGAACCCACUAGCUGCCUUAAGCAUCUCAUCACUUCUUCUCCUCCUUCUCCGCCUCGGCAGCCUUCUUCUGCCUGGCUCCCAACUGGCGCUGGUUCAUCCUCUCGACGCGGAGCUUGCCAUAGGCCUUGAACUCCUUCAUCUCCUCUGUGACCUUCACGACCUCGA
rnacentral:lncRNA from 1 species